rnacentral:rRNA from 1 species
AGAGUUUGAUCAUGGCUCAGGACGAACGCUGGCGGCGUGCUUAACACAUGCAAGUCGAACGGAAUCCAUGGUGUAGCAAUACACUGGAAGAUUUAGUGGCGAACGGGUGAGGAUCACGUGAGAAACCUGCCCCAGACUUUGGGAUAACAAUUGGAAACGAUUGCUAAUACCGAAUGACGUCGGAGAACCACAUGGUUCACUGACGAAAGGAAAUCCGGUUUGGGAGGGUCUCGCGGCCUAUCAGCUUGUUGGUGGGGUAAUGGCCUACCAAGGCAACGACGGGUAGCUGGUCUGAGAGGAUGAUCAGCCACACUGGGACUGAGACACGGCCCAGACUCCUACGGGAGGCAGCAGUGGGGAAUCUUGCGCAAUGGGCGAAAGCCUGACGCAGCAACGCCGCGUGCGGGAUGAAGGCCUUCGGGCUGUAAACCGCUUUCAGCAGGAACGAAAAUGACGGUACCUGCAGAAGAAGGAGCGGCCAACUACGUGCCAGCAGCCGCGGUGACACGUACGCUCCAAGCGUUGUCCGGAUUUAUUGGGCGUAAAGAGCUCGUACGCGGUUUAGUAAGUCGGGUGUUAAAACUCUGGGCUCAACCCGGA